rnacentral:rRNA from 1 species
ACGAACGCUGGCGGCGUGCUUAACACCUGCAAGUCGAACGGAAAGGCCCUGCUUUUGUGGGGUGCUCGAGUGGCGAACGGGUGAGUAACACGUGAGUAACCUGCCCUUGACUUUGGGAUAACUUCAGGAAACUGGGGCUAAUACCGGAUAGGAGCUCCUGCUGCAUGGUGGGGGUUGGAAAGUUUCGGCGGUUGGGGAUGGACUCGCGGCUUAUCAGCUUGUUGGUGGGGUAGUGGCUUACCAAGGCUUUGACGGGUAGCCGGCCUGAGAGGGUGACCGGCCACAUUGGGACUGAGAUACGGCCCAGACUCCUACGGGAGGCAGCAGUGGGGAAUAUUGCACAAUGGGCGGAAGCCUGAUGUAGCAACGCCGCGUGCGGGAUGACGGCCUUCGGGUUGUAAACCGCUUUCGCCUGUGACGAAGCGUGAGUGACGGUAAUGGGUAAAGAAGCACCGGCUAACUACGUG